rnacentral:lncRNA from 1 species
UACUGGUGGCAGCAGCAGUAAUUAAAUCUUAUCAGCAUACUACACAAAAAGAAUUACACAUUUAGUCAUAGACAGCAUAUAAAUCUAACUCUUCCUCCUCUUGCUGAAAGGCAAAAUACUAGGACACAUAGGUUCUUCCAUUCAAUCUUUUUUCACCAAGAACAUUUAUUAAACUCUUGAUCAUUCCAAUUUGAAGGACCAUACUUUCAUGCAAUUUGUGGGUUUAACAAGCUAUCAAUCUUUUAUGAUAAAGGGUCUAGUCCUUGUAUUCUGCAUUAACAAUCAGAAUAUUGUUGCAGGAAAGAAAAAAUCCCUAUUUGAUAGAACUUCUACCUAUAUACCCAUCGGAACCAUCAACGACGCAUUCACAUUCCUAAAUAACGAUACACGACAUGGAUUUUUUUAGUUUUGUAUGUUUAUCAUAUAUAUGCAAAAAGUUAUAAUAAGUAAUCAGAGGUAAAAAAAAAAAAAGGCUAAAGUACAUUCUUAAUAGCAUAAAAGAAAGAGAUAGUGAAUUUGGAAUAACUAAGAAAAGUAGGAAAGAUAAAAGAAAAAUGGGUAGGACCCUAAGUAUACCUUUUCGGGAUAGGACUUGAACCAUCAUGAUUUUCUAUAAGUUUUAUCAUUGUCAGUAUUGACAACUAGAAUGAGACUAUCUUUAUUCUUGUCAACCAACUCAGUUCUUCAGAAUAUGGAGUCAACGAUUUGGUCUAUGGAAUAUUUGGUUUGACUGUAUUAAGAAUUAUUAUCCCCCUUAUCUUACAAUAAUCUAUAAGAGAUUUAAAUGCAGCACUGUGCACUUCAAGCAACAAAAUCUCUGAUGCAUUAACAUCAAAUAGUAGCAAAAUGCACCUCUCUACAUUUUUGCUCCGAUCAAAAGUGUAGUUAACUUUGAACUGCAAUAACAAGGAACAAGCCCUUAUGUUUCCAUUUUGAGGAUACCGACCUACUCCAUUUACCAUCUUAAUUUGCACCAUCCAUUUGACUAAUGGAUGCAUAUUCGUGUAAUUUGAAAUCUAUUUAUGGUAUUCAUUUUCCCAUAUCAACACAUCUUUCGUAACUUCAAAUUGUUACAAAAAGACUUGAAAGACCAAAAACUAAUUUCGUAUGAGUUAACAUAAAUUGUGAAACAAGAACCAAGCAUAAGAUUUUUAAGUCGCAUGUGUACUAAUUCAACCAUAAAAUGGACGGUCUGGUUAAAAAGAAAAAAAGCAAAUGGAAAGGGUUAAAUCCCCAUUUCAGACAGAAUUACAUCCUAGGAUAAUUAGAUGUGAAACAUAUGUCAAAAUAACAUAUAUAUAAAACUAAAGAAGUAUAAAAAUUAGAGAUCAAUCCUUCAAUGGACAAUUAAAGGUUAAGAACAUUGACUAUGACCAAAAAUCCAAUCAAACCCUCUAAACUGACGGAAAUUCUGGUGUCAUAUCUAAAAUAGUAUGCAAAAGAAGAUCGUGCUUCCAUCCAUAAUUAACUUUAUUUCAGAAAGUAUAUCAUUUGUUCAGCGAUUAACAAGACACAAACUGAUUUUAAAAUUAAAUAAGAACACAGACACUUACCUGCCCAGCACUUAAAAGCGUACAGGAUGACGGUGUAGUACUUCCAGAAUUUGCACCUUCACAAUCACAUUAAAAGGUUACAGAAGCCAAUUCUGUGUUUCUCUAUUCCUCUUUCUUUUUCUCGUAAAAAAGAUGUAAAUUAAACAUUUACCCUAGAUAAGGACCGUAUACUGGCUUAACCUAACAAUUAAAAAUCUUUCGAUUGUAAUAAAAAUCAACCAAGGCUACGAGAUUAAGCCAAACCCUAAGCCAAACCCUAACCAAGCACUAGCCUCAGUCAUGAUCAUAAGCAAUUCAAGUGAAUAGAAGAUUAGUUUUUGAGAACUGAAUACCUGAUAGUUGAGACGAUACGGAGCUUUCCUCAACUCUCACUGGCAUUCNNN